rnacentral:rRNA from 1 species
CAGUAGCCGCGGGAAUACGAAGGGUGCAAGCGUUACUCGGAAUUACUGGGCGUAAAGCGCGCGUAGGUGGUUCAUUAAGUUGGAUGUGAAAGCCCUGGGCUCAACCUGGGAACUGCAUCCAAAACUGGUGAGCUAGAGUACGGUAGAGGGUAGUGGAAUUUCCUGUGUAGCGGUGAAAUGCGUAGAUAUAGGAAGGAACACCAGUGGCGAAGGCGACUACCUGGACUGAUACUGACACUGAGGUGCGAAAGCGUGGGGAGCAAACAGGAUUAGAUACCCGAGUAGUCCCUGUCUCUUAUAC